rnacentral:rRNA from 1 species
UCGAGGAUUUUUGGCAAUGAGCGCAAGCUUGACCAAGCGAUGCCGCGUGCGGGAUGAAGGCCUUCGGGUUGUAAACCGCUGUCAGUGUGGAGGAAAGGUCGGUGUAGAGCCGAACUUGACUAAUACGCAGAGGAAGUGAGGGCUAAACUCGUGCCAGCAGCCGCGGUAAGACGAGUCUCACGAACGUUAUUCGGAAUUACUGGGCUUAAAGGGUGCGUAGGCGGUGGAGUAAGUCGGAUGUGAAAUACCUUAGCUUAACUAGGGAACUGCACUCGAUACUACUUUGCUUGAGUAAGACAGAGGUGAGUGGAACUGAGGGUGGAGCGGUGAAAUGCGUUGAUAUCCUCAGGAACACCGGUGGCGAAGGCGACUCACUGGGUCUUUACUGACGCUGAUGCAC